GACGAACCGUGCGAACGUUAUUCGGAAUCACUGGGCUUAAAGCGCGUGUAGGCGGGACGGCACGUCGGUCGCUGAAAUCCCCCGGCUCAACCGGGGAACGGGCGCCGAUACGACCGGCCUGGAGGGACGUAGGGGGACCUGGAACUUCCGGUGGAGCGGUGAAAUGCGUUGAGAUCGGAAGGAACGCCCGUGGCGAAAGCGAGGUCCUGGGCGUCUGCUGACGCUGAGACGCGAAAGCCAGGGGAGCGAACAGG
rnacentral:rRNA from 1 species